AUUGAACGCUGGCGGCAUGCCUAACACAUGCAAGUCGAACGGCAGCACGGCAGUAGCAAUACUGUGGGUGGCGAGUGGCGGACGGGUGAGGAAUACGUCGGAAUCUGCCCAGUCGUGGGGGAUAACUAGCCGAAAGGUUAGCUAAUACCGCAUACGACCGAGAGGUGAAAGCGGGGGACCGCAAGGCCUCGCGCGAUUGGAUGAGCCGACGUCGGAUUAGCUAGUUGGUGGGGUAAAGGCCCACCAAGGCGACGAUCCGUAGCUGGUCUGAGAGGAUGAUCAGCCACACUGGAACUGAGACACGGUCCAGACUCCUACGGGAGGCAGCAGUGGGGAAUAUUGGACAAUGGGGGGAACCCUGAUCCAGCCAUGCCGCGUGAGGGAAGAAGGUCCUCUGGAUUGUAAACCUCUUUUGGCAGGAAACAACCUGCGCUAUACGCGCAGCUGAGGGUACCUGCAGAAUAAGCACCGGCUAACUCCGUGCCAG
rnacentral:rRNA from 1 species